GGUAUGACUGUUGGUGAGGAAAUAGAACAGGUGAAUUCUUUUUUGCACAUGCUGCAUUGACAACAAAAUACAUGACCAAAAUAUCACUCACUGGUAUGAUAACCAUUCAAGCGCGAGGAUGGAAUUUAAGGAAGAAGAGGAACCUACACAAAUGCCUUUCUCAAAGAUAUGCCAAGGUCUACCUGUGGUGCACACCCAAGAUGCCUACGAAGGAUUGCACUGCAUUUUGAAGGCCUACCUUGAUGAUAUGAAAAAACAAAUGUCUGAGGUGCAGACUGUAUACAGAGUCCUUGUUGCCAAGGGAAGUGUCCUGCAUCAAGAGGAUGAGGAUGCAGAGGAAGAGCUGCCUGAUGUUAUUCUGGACUCAGAUGAUGAAACUGACACUGACAGUGAAAUUCCAGGACAGAGUUUUUGAGAUGCAUGGAUUAAUGAGAAAUGCAAUUAUUCUGGUAUAAAUAACUAAAUGAACACUUAUCAGACCUGUUGUUAUUUAUUUUAGGCAUUUUGACACACACAUGAAACUGUGAAUGUAAAACUGAAGGACUGAUCAGAAGUGGAGACACACAUUUAUCAGUAUUGUACCACUAUUUUAUUUGUUCACGUUGAAUAAGAUUUUAUUAAAGAAAAAACAUGACAUGAUGA